rnacentral:rRNA from 1 species
UACGUAGGGUGCGAGCGUUGUCCGGAAUUACUGGGCGUAAAGAGCUCGUAGGUGGUUUGUCGCGUUGUUCGUGAAAACUCACAGCUUAACUGUGGGCGUGCGGGCGAUACGGGCAGACUGGAGUACUGCAGGGGAGACUGGAAUUCCUGGUGUACCGGUGGAAUGCGCAGAUAUCAGGAGGAACACCGGUGGCGAAGGCGGGUCUCUGGGCAGUAACUGACGCUGAGGAGCGAAAGCGUGGGGAGCGAACAGG